GGAUUGUGGCUCAGUGGUAAAGCACUUGCCUAGCAUGUGCGAGGCCCUGGGUUCAAUCCUCAGCACCA
rnacentral:tRNA from 1 species